GGAACCAAUCGGAGCGAGGUUAGUCCGGCAGGCAGCGGCCGGAGGAGGAGGGGCGGCGGAGCCGGUCUGACGGGCUCGGCCUGGGGUGACCCCGAUGUGACCCCGUGGCUCCUGUCUAGGGUCCCCAUCUUGGAUCUGACACUCAGGCCGGCAGGACAAGAAGGCCAGCAAGGACGAGACGGGUGCGGCUGACGGCAGUGAGUCGCACGGUCAGCCCGGCCUGGAGGAAGACACUACCGGCAAGGCUCGCGCAGCCACUGAGCCACCGGUGAUUCCGGCCAUCUCCAGUCGCCCUCCUCCAGGCCACCACAAGACCGACGGACGGCAGACGAGCAGCAGAAAGCAAAGACGUCCCUCCCCUUCUCGCUUCACCUCGCCCAGUGACUGACCACUCCCCUCCACCCCGAGCGCCCCUGAGAACUGCUUAGGACUGGCCGGCCACUUCGACUUCUACGGCACCCAAACCCUCCCGCGCUGGUGCUGGCUCAGACCCACGACGGACACAGCACUCCCCUCUUCUGGGCACCUUCCCUUUAGCCCCAGCUCUUCUCGCCUUUCUAAGCCCAGGAGCUGCGUCCCCGCGCCUACCCGGCGUCCCCGCAGGGACAAGGUCAUCUGUUUGCAAGGAAACGCUUGGACCCUACAGGUCCCAGCGUGCCACUCUCCGCCGAGCCCUGGUGGAUGCUUGGGCCCCGCGGACCCUCUCUGCAGUUCAAGCGGAGUUUCUGUCAGAACUCUCCUCACCAGGGGCAGCAGCCUUUCUAUCAGUUAGCAAACACCGAGACUAGUACUGUAUUUAAAUACGGUCAAGUAUAGCCCUGGCUGGCUGUCCCCACCCAAAUCCCGGGGUGGGGGUGGGGAAACCCAUGCAUCAGACAUGGGCAAAUGCGGAGCUGGGGGACCAGACAUCAGAGGAGCAGAUCCCUACUUGGGAAGUAGUGCCGAGGGUGCUGCCAGUUACCAGGAAAUGCAGCUUCCCCUUCUGCGAUGAUGACACUUCCCCUCUGCCACUUCCCCUUUCCCACGGGGAACUGACUCAGCUUUCCCUAAAUCAGCGAUUCCUGUCCCUCAAGCCGUGGUCUUACACCUUUAUCCACACACCCUCACGCCGGCACCCAGGAAUACAAAGCCCUCACUUGAAGACAAAACUUCCUGUACACUAAACACACACUCACUCCCGCCAGCCAACUCGGAUCCUUGUCCCCACCCGGGACCCAGGCGCCUGACUCCUCAUCUGUCCCCCAUACAAAGCCCUCCCUUGGGGUCUGAUUCAGGCUUGGGAUGGGGGAGUGUGAGUCACCCAGAAAACCUUCCCAUAUUCCCACUGACUCAGCCCCCGCCUCCCUGAACACACACAGACACACAGUCAGAGGCAGACACAACUCCUCAGCCCACACACUGUUCACCACCGGUCCCGCGGAAUUUCCCGUCUCAUCUCCCCCCGCCACAAUGGCCCCUCCCCGCGCCGGCAGCCCAGACGCCGCGCUCACACCUGUUCCCCGGCCGGCUCGCGGUCCACUCUCACCUCCACUCUCGCUUUGGAGUAAGAAUAGCCCUCUCUGACUCCCAGUGUCC